rnacentral:rRNA from 1 species
UACGUAGGGUGCGAGCGUUAAUCGGAAUUACUGGGCGUAAAGCGUGCGCAGGCGGCGCGUUAAGACAGGUGUGAAAGCCCCCGAGCUUAACUUGGGAAUUUGCGCUUGUGACUGGCGUGCUGGAGUGUGGGCAGAGGGGAGGUGGAAAUUCCACGUGUAGCAGUGAAAAUGCGUAGAGAUGUGGAGGAACACCGAUGGCGAAGGGCAGCCUCCUGGG